rnacentral:rRNA from 1 species
CUGCAUGGCUGUCGUCAGCUCGUGUCGUGAGAUGGUUGGGUUAAGUCCCCGCAACGAGCGCUAACCCUUUCCUUAUUUGCCAGCGGGUUAAGCCGGGAACUUUAAGGAUACUGCCAGUGACAACUGGAGGAAGGCGGGGACGACGUCAAGUCAUCAUGGCCCUUACGACCAGGGCUACACACGUGCUACAAUGGUCGGUACAAAGGGUUGCUACCUAGCGAUAGGAUGCUAAUCUCAAAAAGCCGAUCGUAGUCCGGAUUGGAGUCUGCAACUCGACUCCAUGAAGUCGGAAUCGCUAGUAAUCGCGGAUCAGAAUGCCGCGGUGAAUACGUUCCCGGGCCUU